rnacentral:lncRNA from 1 species
GAUGCUGAAAUUAAAUUCUGGGGUGGGAAAAGCUAUAGAGAACAGGCCAUAGGAAGCCAUGUGGAGGCCGUGUGAAUGUUACACCUUGAACUGAGUUCUCAGAACCUGGGACUGACAGUUAUGAGGUUGGUGGCCUCUCCAACAUGGCAUUUGGGAAGAAGUGCUUUUGACACAUCGGUGUCUUUUCCAGUCUCAAAUGGGAUACAGGUGAAGAAAUGACUUCAGGCAAGGUAGUCAGAAUUUUACAUUCUGCCAAUGAAGGAAUCCCAAGCAGAUUUUUUGAGCCUCUGACACGUCGUUGACUAAAGAGAAAUAAACAAUGGAGUACUGGAGCCUGCUCACACCAGCCAAUUGUUAGAACCUCUCUCCAGCUCCACCUUCAGGGACAAUACACUGAUAGAAACUGAAAGAGUGCAGUCACGUGGAUGGUUUGGAUUAGGCAUGGUGAGGGUAUUUAUACCAUGGGAAUUGGCAAAUGCUAAUUUACCUUGAUCAAUUUACCAGUAGAUCACUGGAAAAGAAAAAAAAUCACAAGAAUCAUUAAAUAUGUUAGAGAUAAUAUGUCUAAAGUGUCCAUUAAUGUGCUAGCUA